rnacentral:rRNA from 1 species
CCCAAUGCCGCGGCCUACACAUGCAGUCGAGCGGUAGCACAAAGAGAGCUUGCUCUCUGGGUGACGAGCGGCGGACGGGUGAGUAAUGUCUGGGAAACUGCCUGAUGGAGGGGGAUAACUACUGGAAACGGUAGCUAAUACCGCAUGACGUCUUCGGACCAAAGUGGGGGACCUUCGGGCCUCACGCCAUCAGAUGUGCCCAGAUGGGAUUAGCUAGUAGGUGGGGUAAUGGCUCACCUAGGCGACGAUCUCUAGCUGGUCUGAGAGGAUGACCAGCCACACUGGAACUGAGACACGGUCCAGACUCCUACGGGAGGCAGCAGUGGGGAAUAUUGCACAAUGGGCGCAAGCCUGAUGCAGCCAUGCCGCGUGUAUGAAGAAGGCCUUCGGGUUGUAAAGUACUUUCAGCGAGGAGGAAGGCAUUAAGGUUAAUAACCUUGGUGAUUGACGUUACUCGCAGAAGAAGCACCGGCUAACUCUGUGCAGCAGCCGCCAU